AGCGAACGUUUGCGGCGGGCCUAACACAUGCAAGUCGAACGGGCAGGGGCAACCCUGUCAGUGGCGCACGGGUGCGUAACACGUGGGUAAUCAACCCUUUGGACUGGGACAACCCGGGGAAACUCGGGCUAAUACCGGAUGUGGCGUGGCGGUCCUCGGACUGCUCCGCGAAAGCUCCGCAAGGGGCACCAGAGGACGAGCCCGCGUCCCAUCAGCUAGUUGGUGAGGUAAUGGCUCACCAAGGCGAAGACGGGUAGCUGGUCUGAGAGGAUGAUCAGCCACACUGGAACUGAGACACGGUCCAGACUCCUACGGGAGGCAGCAGUGGGGAAUAUUGCGCAAUGGGCGAAAGCCUGACGCAGCCACGCCGCGUGUGCGAUGAAGGUCUUCGGAUCGUAAAGCACUGUGGGGGGAGAAGAAACAAGCCGGUGAAGAGCCGGCCCUGACGGUAUCCCCUUAGCAAGCACCGGCUAACUCCGUGCCAGCAGCCGCGGU
rnacentral:rRNA from 1 species